rnacentral:tRNA from 1 species
UGUAACUCAGUGGUAGAGUGCUUGCCUAGCAUGCAGGAGGCCCUGGGUUCGAUCCCCAGUA